rnacentral:ncRNA from 1 species
CCACAAAAAAAAGGCGCAUCAUCGACCGACCUAUUCUACUCUUAGAAAGGUUUGAGUAAGAGCGCAUCUGUUGGGACCCGAAAGAUGGUGAACUAUGCCUGAAUAGGGUGAAGCCAGAGGAAACUCUGGUGGAGGCUCGUAGCGAUUCUGACGUGCAAAUCGAUCGUCAAAUUUGGGUAUAGGGGCGAAAGACUAAUCGAACUGUCUAGUAGCUGGUUCCCUCCGAAGUUUCCCUCAGGAUAGCUGGAACUUACGGCAGUUUUAUCAGGUAAAGCGAAUGAUUAGAGGUCUAUAAAAGGGAAUUAAAAUAAAUUAAAUUUGAUAAGCAAAUUUUCCUUCUAAAACUUUUUUACGGGACUGGCAAGUUUCAAGCUUUUGUAUGAUUUACGAAUAGAACUCAGAUUUGGGUUACUUUUUUUGGGGGAAGGGGGGCUAUCUAUUCUUGGUGGAGUUUUGGGUAUAGAGUUCAGAU